rnacentral:lncRNA from 1 species
CUAGUCUAUCACAUGGAUAGGUGCUCCUUUAGGUUGCUCACAGCUACACAAAGAGAUCCAGCUUCUACAAAUUAUCCACAUAAAGAUCGGUUGCAGAUCAGGCUCCUCGGGAGUGCUAGCUCGCAAGGAUCUUUGAAGGCUAAACUACUUCUUCUUCUCUUGAUCUCUUGGAUGCUCCAAAGGAGAGGAAGAAUUUGUGGAGGAAG